AAACCAGCACCUCAAGUGGUCAGGAUGAUUAUUGGGCCUAAAGCAUCCGUAGCCGGCUCUGUAAGUUUUCGGUUAAAUCUGUACGCUCAACGUACAGGCUGCUGGGAAUACUGCAGGGCUAGGGAGUGGGAGAGGUAGACGGUACUCGGGAGGAAGUGGUAAAAUGCUUUGAUCUCUCGAUGACCACCUGUGGCGAAGGCGGUCUACCAGAACACGUCCGACGGUGAGGGAUGAAAGCUGGGGGAGCAAACCGGAUUAGAAACCCCAGUAGUCC
rnacentral:rRNA from 1 species